GGGGGCUGGAAGAGAAACGGUGACACAUUGGUUCUGCGGUAGGUGAGGGCUGUUUUUCCUGGACUCCAGUGCUGACGGCUUGCCCAAGAGGGGCGGGAUGCUUCUGUAAAAAAGCACUGCAGUGGUUCCCCACGCUGAUCUGGGCUCAGAUCCGUUGGUAUAUAUCUGACCUCGGAUAGGCAACAACUCUGCCACAUUGAACGCUAGUCCUUCUGGUAUGAGCAGUGUUUAGAAUUGUCAGUCUCAGCUUCUGUGUUUCCCUGUCUGUAUUAAUGUGAUGCAGUGUCAUUGUGUAUUAAUGUGAUGCAGUGUCAUUUUGUUAUGCAUGCAGCCAGUGUUUAUGUCAGUGUGUCAGUUGUCAUGUCAAUUAUUAGAGUUUCCUUGCUUGUUCACAGUGCCUGUCUGUGCCUUUGUGGCUUCCUGUCUAUGUGCAUGUGAUGCUGCUUCCUUCUCUUAUGUACCGAGCCAGUGUUUAUGUCAGUGUGUUAGUUGUUAUGUCAGUGGCUGUACGUGCUUUUGUGGCUUCCGGUCUGUUCUGCCUCUCUGCUUCCCUUCAGGUCCUCUGUUGGUGUCAAAGCGUUAAUGUCAUUACUAACAUUUACAAAAUCGCUCAACAUCCUGCCCCACCCUGCCCUGCCCCACCCCCCUGCUUUAUCCCAACUUCCAUCACCCUCUCCCUCUCCACUCCAUCACUGGUGCGAGGAAGGAUGAAGAGGGAAGUGGGACAGAGAAGAGAAGAAGAAGAGAAGAAGAGAGUAAUACUCAUCAUAUUGGAGGAAGUCGUCAAGGUCAGUAAAGGGCUUUAAAAUUUAAAUGAAUGUAAAUGCAGUCAACCUGCAGCUGUGAUUUAUACAAGGUUAAAAAUAAAUUGCAUUUGGAAAACAUUCAGCCAAAAGACAUAAAGUGUUUUAAAGGUUUUUCUGUAUGAAGUUUAUUUGGUCCUUAGAUAUAAAUAAACAGUUAUUAAUUAAAACAUGCUAGAGUUGCACAGUUUUAAAAACCAGACUGUUUUUGCCUGUUUGUGUUUAAAGUGUGACGUGGGCUCCACACGUGUGGUUCCACAUGCAGAGCUGUGUGUCUCUGUGCCUGACACAGGCUGCACUCCUGCCGUCCCUCACAGGAAACAUGCUGAGAACAUGCAAGCUGCAUGCACAGAGCAGAGGUCUCAGUCUGUUUUGCUAGGAACUUUAUAGUAAUACAUGAACAAUGGCUGCCUGACGCCACUUAAGCACAAAGAAUUCCUAAUAUGGAGCAGGCCAAGCCUUGGCAGGUGCUGGACUCUCCUCCCAGAU